rnacentral:piRNA from 1 species
UGGGAUUACAAGUUGUCAACCCUGCUUUC